rnacentral:rRNA from 1 species
GCGAGUCGAAUGUAGCAAUACAUGGCGUACUGCUCAGUAACACGUGGACAACCUACCCUCCGGACGGGUAUAAACCCGGGAAACUGGGUAUAAUCCCCGAUAGAUCUCGGUCGCUGGAAAGCCCCGAGAUCGAAAGCUCCGGCGCCAGAGGAUGGGUCUGCGGCCUAUCAGGUAGUAGUGGGUGUAGCGUACCUACUAGCCUACGACGGGUACGGGUUGUGAGAGCAAGAGCCCGGAGAUGGAUUCUGAGACACGAAUCCAGGCCCUACGGGGUGCAGCAGGCGCGAAAACUUUACAAUGCCGGCGACGGCGAUAAGGGGACCUCGAGUGCCAGGUUACAAAUCUGGCUGUCGUGAUGCCUAAAAAGCAUUGCAUAGCAAGGGCCGGGCAAGACCGGUGCCAGCCGCCGUGGUAACACCGGCGGCUCGAGUGGUAACCGUUAUUAUUGGGUCUAAAGGGUCUGUAGCCGGCCGGAUAAGUCUCUUGAGAAAUCCAGCAGCUCAACUGUUGGGCUUUCAGGAGAUACUGUCUGGCUCGAGGCCGGGAGAGGUGAGAGGUACUUCAGGGGUAGGGGUGAAAUCUUGUAAUCCUUAAAGGACCACCAGUGGCGAAGGCGUCUCACCAGAACGGACCUGACGGCAAGGGACGAAAGCUAGGGGCACGAACCGGAUUAGAUACCCGGGUAGUCCUAGCCGUAAACGAUACUCGCUAGGUGUCGGCCACGGUGCGACCGUUGUCGGUGCCGUAGGGAAGCCGUGAAGCGAGCCACCUGGGAAGUACGGCCGCAAGGCUGAAACUUAAAGGAAUUGGCGGGGGAGCACCACAACGGGUGGAGCUUGCGG